rnacentral:sRNA from 1 species
AAACCCCACUGCCCGGAACGAAGCUCCC